ACCAAGGAGGAUGCCGGAGCAUACCAGUGUGAGGUCUCCAACCCCCUCAACACCAGGCAGAGUGAUCCAGUCAAGCUGGCUGUGCUCUAUCAACCGUCAAAAAAUUUCCUGUUGUCACCCCUGAUUGUGGCUAGCUUGGCUGCUGAAGUCCUGGCUGGGCUGGCUAUCCUAGGAAGCCUGGUGUAUUUGGUGUUUCUCAAGAAGUUUGACAAUCGGGAAAGCCGCAAAAGAAUACACGGGGAGGAACAAAAGAACUGGACGAGAGCAAAAGAGUAGUACAGAAAGAGCAAGAAGUAAGAGCAUUCUCAGUGAGGACAGCCAACACUGUCCACCCCGGGUAAGCACAGCCACUGACCAAGGGGAACCAGAAGGUUCUACCACCUGUCCCCACCAUGGCAUCUGGGACACCAGCCACUGUCCACUGUCUGACUCACAGAGCAGAUCUUCUUUCCCCAGCCCUCAGUUGCUGGAGGUCCUCACCUCUUCCCGGCCACAGGAGACCAGGUCACAGGCCCCACAACAACUCUCCUUGAGUGUGAGGUGGAUGGCGUCUGUCCAGAACACCAAAACCCAGCAACCCAACCAGCCAACUUCAGCCCCCAGGCUAUAGCAGUCAUGGAACUGGGCCCCCAGGCUAUAGCAGUCAUGGAACUGAUUUUCUGAAGUUAAAAAAAAAAAAAUC
rnacentral:lncRNA from 1 species